rnacentral:rRNA from 1 species
GCCAGCAGCCGCGGUAAUUCCAGCUCCAAUAGCGUAUAUUAAAGUUGUUGCAGUUAAAACGCUCGUAGUCGGACCUCGGAGCGCCCCCACGGGCCGGGCUUCUGCCUUUGUGCCAGUGGGAGUUUGUCUCCCUUUUUUGUCGGGACGCGGUGUGUGGGGUCUUUAUUGGCUCUGCGCGUUUUACCUGCGGGCCGGCCGUUUACUGUGAAGAAAGUAAAGUGUUCAAAGCAGGCCAAUGCCUUGAAUAUGUGAGCAUGGAAUAAUAGAAUAGGACUUGGGCUCUAUUUUGUUGGUUUCCAGUGACCAAGUAAUGAUUAAUAGGGAUGGUUGGGGGCAUUCGUAUUUCAUUGUCAGAGGUGAAAUUCUUGGAUUGAUGGAAGACGAACAACUGCGAAAGCAUCUGCCAUGGAUGUUUUCAUUGAUCAAGAACGAAAGUUAGGGGAUCGAAGACGAUCAGAUACCGUCGUAGUCUUAACCAUAAACGAUGCCGACUGGGGAUUGGCAGGGGCACUAUUUAAUGACUCUGUCAGCACCCUGAGGGAAACCAAAGUCUUUGGGUUCUGGGGGGAGUAUGGU